AACAAGCUUGAUGGAGCCAAACACAUUGGUUUUAUUUUGGGACAGGUUCCUUUUGAAAACAAAUCUCAGGAUUAUUAAUGCUUAGUUACGGGGCUGGGGACAUAAGAAGACAGUGGUUCUCAGACUGUGAUCCCUGAUCCUACAACAUCAGUAUGACCUAGAAACUUGUUAGAACCACCAUGAUAGGGAUUCAAUAGAUCCUUACUGAAGGUAAGGCUGAGUUCUUAAUUCCAAGGGAGAAUGAUGCCAUUUAAUACCAUGUUGUAAGGCAUGUUGCUGCAUGCAUGCAUGCUCAACUGUCUUCAACUCUCUGUGACCCCCAUGGACUGUAACCUGUCAGGCUCCACUAUCCCUGGAAUUCUCCAGGCAAGAAUACUAGAGUAGGUUGCCAUUUUCUUCUCCAGGGGUAUCUUCCCAACUCAGGGAUCAAACCCACAUCUCCUGCAUUGGCAGGCAGGUUCUUUACCACUGAGCCAGGAGGGAAGCCCAAGCUGUAAGGCAGUGGUUCCCACACGUUAGUGCACAUCAGAGUAUCCAGGAGGACUUGGGGAAAGACCACGUUCUGGAUCCCAGCAGGAGCAUUUCCGACUCGACAGAUCUGGGGUGGGAGUGGGAGUCUGCAUGUCCAACAGGUUCCCAGGUGCUGCCUCUGGUGCUGUUCUGAGGACCCUGUGUUGAGAACCGUUGGUAUAAGACCAUUAUCCUCAGAGCACAACAUUAGAAUCCCCUGGGGUUGCUUUUAGCUGCAGAAAGGACUGGGCCCCAGCUAAACCAAAUCAGAAUCUCUACAGGUAGGUCUGGGCUUGGUGUCCUUUAACAUUUCCCAGGUGAUUCUAAGGAGUGGCCACGAUUCAAUCCUGCUUGUCCAUUAGAAUUACCUGGUGGGCUUUAGCACCCUCGCUGCCUGGAUACCAAUCCUGGAGGUUCUGAUACAAUUGCUUCCAGGUGCAGCAUGGGCAUUGAGUUAUUUGAAUGCUCCAGAAGUGACUCUACUAUGCAGCUAACAAGUGAACGACUGCCCUAAAGAUACCUUCUAGCUGUAAGAAUGUCAUGAUUUUAGCAUAAUCCUGCAUAAAGGUCACAACAUUCAUGGAAAAGGAACAUUCCUAUAGAGAGGUAAUGUUUACCUCCAUUAUAGUAUUAUAAAAUGUAGCAUAGUGGAAAGGACGGCAAGUGAAGAACUCUGGCCCUGUCACCGUAGUGCAUGUUUACCUGUCUGGUUUGGUUGGUUGGUUACAAAUUUACAUAACAUGAAGGAUACCACACACACGUUGAGUAUGGCCGCACAGAGAUGACAUCCAGCAGUCAGAGAAGGCCCUCACCUCAGUGGACCGCUGAGUCACGGGAGGAUCAGUAAAGCCUUUGAGGCCUCAGCCCUUGAGGCAGAGUCCCUUCUGACCGGAAGAGGAGUGAGAGAUCAAGCGGCAUUCAUCAAAGUAACAACAACCCAUGAAUAUUUAGGUAUAAAUUAAACACAUCAUACCUGUGGUAAGCUGUCUUUGUGGUGCUGGCAGUGAAGCAUAAGCUCCCUCCCUUUGCUCCACAAGAGCCACCAAACAGCUGUGUGCUGUUAAGCAAGCGACCUCACUUUUCCUCGCCUGAGCUUUCGGGUCAUGUUUAUCUUGCAGGGUUGCUUUGAGGAAUAGGGGAGGUAAGAGUGUCUGGCUGCUCUAACAAAAAUAUCCAAGGGUGCUUAAAUGACAAAUGUUCAUUUCUCAUAGUUCUGGAGGCUUCUGAGUCCAAGAUCAAGAAGUCAGAUUUGGUGUUGGGUGGGGACAAGCUUCCUAGUUCACAGAUGACCAUCUUCUCGCUGUGUCCUCCUGUGGAGAAAGGGCUGAGGGAACUCUCUGGAGUCUCAUACAGACACUAAAUUCCACUUCUGAGGCACUAUCCUCAUGACCUAAUGCCCUCCCCAAAGUCCCCACCUUCAGAUACUGUCACACUGCAGAUUAGGUUUCAACAUACGAAUUUUGGGGAGAUACGAACAUUGUUUAUGAUAAAAGAUAUGCAAAGCAUUUAACCCAGCAUCUGCUAGAAGUUCAGAAAUAUUCUUUUUUCCCCCUCUGCCUUUCUAAUAUUAUUGUGUGCGUUAGUCUCUCAGUUGUGUCUGACUCUUUGAGACCCCACAGACAGUAGGUCACC
ensembl:lncRNA